UGGCGGACGGGUGAGUAAUGUCUGGGAAACUGCCUGAUGGAGGGGGGAUAACUACUGGAAACGGUAGCUAAUACCGCAUAACGUCGCAAGACCAAAGAGGGGGACCUUCGGGCCUCUUGCCAUCGGAUGUGCCCCAGAUGGGAUUAGCUAGUAGGUGGGGUAACGGCUCACCUAGGCGACGAUCCCUAGCUGGUCUGAGAGGAUGACCAGCCACACUGGAACUGAGACACGGUCCAGACUCCUACGGGAGGCAGCAUG
rnacentral:rRNA from 1 species